AAAGGUAAAUACACAGAAUUUAAAAGCAUAUGAAAGGCAUUAACCGUCAACUUGUCUUGAGAGAGAGAAUCUCCUUUCUCUUAUUUAAACUUUGACAUUUUAUAUCCGAGAAAACAUGAAAAAAUAUAGAAAAAAAAAAUAUUUUCCCCCUUAAUUUUCUUGCAAUGCCACUGGUUCAGGUCCUGAUCAUAUUUUUUUAUGAUUAGGUCUUUCUUUCUGUAUAAGUUACAAUCUGAAGCCAUCAUCCAUCGUCUCAAGCUGGGAGAUUUACUAUCUCAAUAGGCAACUCUAUGAAUCGACAGAUCAAAAUGGUGAAAUGGAUGGGUUUUUGUUGCGCUUGCAAAAUGAACUGAAAGAAGCUGUUGUUAAAGAGGAACCCAAUCUGCAUAUCUAUCCAAGCAAAGAUGUGGACAUGUGAGUGGUUUAUUUGAUUGCUGUUUCUUUGUUUUGCUAUUAAUUUGUUUCGACGUGGACUGAAAAUGUCCAGGAUCUUGAAUUAUGAUGAAGAAGAUUUGAAAGAAGAAAUCCCCAGCACUCCAACAGACAAAUCUCUAAAACUCUACUUGGAGCCAUCUGAUUCAACAUCCAAAUUGUGUGUAAAUGGCUAUUCUUUUGGGAAACCAUCAGAACAUGUGACACCCUUUGGACGAUGUACUGAUAAGUUUGUGGUCAAAUUCAACAUUGAUAACCUUUCAGAUGUGGAGAACGAUGAUGAUGAGCAUGGCCAUGGGAAACUUGAGGAUGAAAUUAUUAAGAGGGCUUAACCCUUGCAAGAGGUGUUCUUGAUAGUCCAUGGAUUGGGACCAGAUCCUGGUUGAAGGUUCAUGUAUGAGAGGAUUGAAGAUAGGUUUAAUGCACUUGAAAAUGGGAUUAGAAAGUACGCAACUGCACUUUUCACUUCUAGGCUGAUGAGGAACCGAGGGACCCCACAGUUGAGGUAACUUGGCUGCUGUUUGCUUUAAUGAUAUUUAUGUAACUUGGCUGCUGUUUGCUUUAAUGAUAUUUAUGUAUUUAUUCGCAUUCAGAUAAGUACAAUCAUUUCAGCAUGUAAUACCAUGGCUUGCUUAUCUUUGAUGGAUAUAAAUAACUGUAUAGGGACCCUGACAUAUCAAUUUUGUUAUUAUUUCUUGUAUCCGGGGGACCCUGACAUAUCAAUUAUGUAAGUAUUUCUUGUAUCCAGGUUUCUUCCUACACCCUCUUCUUUUAUUGGCUUUUUUUUGGGCUAAAAAAUAAGAUUUUUUUAGUUGGCCUUUGAUGAAUUAAUUGCUCUCUAAAUUCUUCGUUAUGCUUUAUGUUAAGAACUUCCAUGCUUAUAAAGUCGUGCAUUCGUGCAUUUGAUUUGAACUAUUGUUUCAAAGAAGUAUAUUUGCUGUUGGAAUGAUUUGUUGUGAUGGAGAAGGGCGUCUAAAUGAGAAGGUCCAUCAUGCUGCAAAGCAGGUAGAAGAAGUGCCAGGAGUUUCCUUUAUGCUAUUCAUUUGCAUCAAUCAACUUGGAAGGGACAUGUAUAUUAGGAAUUUCAUGAUCAAGUAGAUUUACUUGCUGGUAUCUUUAAGCAAUACUGCAACGAUGCCAAUUGAUGGUCUGAAAUAUGGUCUCUUUGGAAGAAAUCUGUGUGUCAGGCAAUGUGAUAAACAUAACUGUAUUGGCCUCUCCAAAGUCCCUGCUUGGCCAUGUUUGUCCCUGACGGGGUUGUGUCCAGGAUAAAGCAGGACCAAGUUUUCCAAUCCCUUGAUUUGUAGUCAAAAGAUCUGACAGACGAGGUGUUCUUGGAUAUUUUUGUCAUAUGAAAGAUAGUCACAGGGAGGAGACUGUUAAAUGCUAAUCCUGAUUAUGUGUGCCAUAUCUUUGCAAUAGUAAUAUCAGCUGUAUGUAGCUUUGUCUUCUGCAUUACACGGGGAUAUUAGAAUAACACUGUUUCUUGUGUUUGAUCAUACGCCACACAUACCAUGUUGUGUUAUUUCUUGUGUUUGAUCAUACGCCACACAUACCAUGUUUCAUAGCUGUUGCUGGCGUGGAUGGUAUAAAUGAUUCACUUUUAUGGGAUUAAAAUUGUAGAGCAUUUGACAGAAAACAUGGAAUUAAAAUAACUACUUUAGACAAUAAUUCACUUAUCUGUCAAUGUUUUAAUUCAUAAGUCGCAUUAGAUAUAAUAUUAAAUUGAGCGCUCGCAUUUGCUCUCUAGUAUUCCUGCAAUCUUUCAAUCCUAAGGAAAUAAUUCUGUUGUCUUAACAGCUUAUUACUUCGGGUCCUUCUACCACAACAGACAGCUUAUUAUUUGAGCCUCUGACUGAGCUGCAAGCAUACGCAGGCAGAAAGUUACCUUAAUUACUUAUACUAGUAUGAUUUUUCUAUUCUUGAAUCUAAUAUCAUGCUUGGGUUCCUUGCUGUCUCUGGAAAUAUCACGCCAGACUUAUUGGCGCUGUUCUUAGAUGGGGCUAUUACUUGAUUCUGAAAAUUCAGAGAUUAAGAAAGGGACUGUAGGCAGGAGCUUUGAUGAGUUGUUUUGUCUGGAAAUAAUGAGAAGGGUAACUAGUCAAAAAGUGGUGAAUUGUCUCCAGAAGCUCUUCACAUCACCUCAGUUCCAGAUUUUCUCAUCCUGCCUUCAGACAUGAAGUACUUUAUAAAGGUGAUUUUCCUGGUUGAAGGGGAAGAGCAAAGGAAGUCCAUUUGCAUAAACCCAGGAACACAGGCAAAGGGACAAGGAGGUGGCACUUUUGCUGAGCUCAAGUACCAUGGGAGUCCUGACAAGAUGAAUGCUUCAAUUACUAUAGGCAUACAAAUACUGGACCUAAACUCAGUGAGGGAUGUCCCAAACUCGAAAUGGCACAAAGCUGGAGCACAAGAUCAGAAUUAAAGAUCCAACACACCGAAUGUUCAAUUAAUUGGAACAACAGUGGAUUCUGGAAACUCGUUUUGAUAGAAGAUUUCCGCAUGUUAGUAAAUUAAUUGCAUGGGUUGAGUGAUUCAUGACCACCGGGAUCAAUCUUGUUCUUUUCUAACAAUCGAACUCAGCAUAUUUGGUAUAAAUACAUACUGUAUUAUAUUCAUUCA